GACGUAGGGCGCGAGCGUUGUCCGGAUUUAUUGGGCGUAAAGAGCUCGUAGGCGGCUCAUUGCGUCAACCGUGAAAACCAGCAGCUCAACUGUUGGCUUGCGGUUGAUACGGGUGGGCUGGAGUUCGGUAGGGGAGACUGGAAUUCCUGGUGUAGCGGUGAAAUGCGCAGAUAUCAGGAGGAACACCGGUGGCGAAGGCGGCCAACUGGACAGAUACUGACGCUGAGACUCGAAAGCGUGGGGAGCAAACAGG
rnacentral:rRNA from 1 species